rnacentral:rRNA from 1 species
CCUACGGGAGGCAGCAGUGGGGAAUAUUGCACAAUGGGCGGAAGCCUGAUGCAGCGACGCCGCGUGAGGGAUGACGGCCUUCGGGUUGUAAACCUCUUUCAGUAGGGAAGAAGCGCAAGUGACGGUACCUGCAGAAGAAGCGCCGGCUAACUACGUGCCAGCAGCCGCGGUAAUACGUAGGGCGCAAGCGUUGUCCGGAAUUAUUGGGCGUAAAGAGCUCGUAGGCGGUUUGUCGCGUCUGCUGUGAAAGCCCGGGGCUCAACCCCGGGUCUGCAGUGGGUACGGGCAGACUAGAGUGCAGUAGGGGAGACUGGAAUUCCUGGUGUAGCGGUGAAAUGCGCAGAUAUCAGGAGGAACACCGAUGGCGAAGGCAGGUCUCUGGGCUGUUACUGACGCUGAGGAGCGAAAGCAUGGGGAGCGAACAGGAUUAGAUACCCUGGUAGUCCAUGCCGUAAACGUUGGGCACUAGGUGUGGGGGACAUUCCACGUUUUCCGCGCCGUAGCUAGCGCAUUAAGUGCCCCGCCUGGGGAGUACGGCCGCAAGGCUAAAA